rnacentral:rRNA from 1 species
GACGAACGCUGGCGGCGUGCUUAACACAUGCAAGUCGAACGGAAAGGCUCCAGCUUGCUGGAGUGCUCGAGUGGCGAACGGGUGAGUAACACGUGGGCAAUCUGCCCUGCACUCUGGGAUAAGCCUGGGAAACUGGGUCUAAUACCGGAUAGGACCUUUCUCCUCAUGGGGUUUGGUGGAAAGUUUUUCGGUGCAGGAUGAGCCCGCGGCCUAUCAGCUUGUUGGUGGGGUAAUGGCCUACCAAGGCGACGACGGGUAGCCGGCCUGAGAGGGUGAUCGGCCACAUUGGGACUGAGAUACGGCCCAGACUCCUACGGGAGGCAGCAGUGGGUAAUAUUGCACAAUGGGCGAAAGCCUGAUGCAGCGACGCCGCGUGAGGGAUGACGGCCUUCGGGUUGUAAACCUCUUUCAGUAGGGACGAAGCGCAAGUGACGGUACCUGCAGAAGAAGCACCGGCUAACUACGUG